AUACUGAUAUUGAGUAUUAUUUCGUCUCUUGAUUGUAACAAUUUUACUCGAUUUUGAUCGCAAUCAUUUUCUCGACAAAAGGAAAAAUCUACGAAGAAGAAAAAGGAAAAAAAGUUUUAUUAAUGAAUCGGCAAGUCGUAUAGCAACCGCCGCAGAAGAAUUGCCAAAAAGACUACCGAUUUGAGCAUCGAUUCCACGAGAGAAGCUUCAAAUUGGCGAGUUAGCGGGAGGUACAAUGGCUGAGUGUGCGGCAGUUUGUUGAUGUUUUCCAUGUGCGUUGAUGAGACAUUGGUACAAUAUAUAAUGUUAAGGGGGUUUUUGUUCUUGCGAAUGAGGGUUGGUGACCGCUUCAAAUCACCACAUGUUGAAGUAUUUGACUCUACAGAAUCAUAAUCGAAAUGGAUAGGAAGCCAGUGUUUCUUUCAUAAAGCUGAAGGGGUUCUUUGCAGAUGUAAACCAAGAGGGAGUGGAGUGAAGUCUACUUAAUAAUUUUGUCGAUGUAGAAAAAUAAAAAAUUUGAAUGGAAUUCGCAAUUUCCUGGAAUCUUCUGAUUUUUCAAAGCCAAUUACUUCUGAUGAUGUCCACCAAGUAUUUAAAAAUCUAACUAAUAAGUAGAGGCGUAAUAGUGUUAUUAUUAGAAAAAUAUUUACUAAUGUUUUAUGCAUGUGUCAAUCAAAAUGUUAAAUGCUUAAAACUAUACUUAGUCCAGAUUCAAAUACAUUAGGAAAGUUUAUUCAUAUUUAAGGCUUUUCGUAAUCAGAAUGUUUUCUCUUCGUUUAAACACAUCAAGCAUGUUUGUAGGUGCACAUUUAUUUAUCUGGAAGUUUAUGCUUGCCUAUGUGCUUAAUCACACAUGUGACACUCACAACACUCACAAAAUUAAUGGCUUUCAAUUGAUUAGUUUAUAUGUCAUUGUUAUCUAUUUCAUGACAUUGUUCAUGACAUGUAUUUAUUAUACUUUGUACAUGUGCUCCUCUGUUUUUUGUGCAUUGUCUCUGAAUAAUUUUGGUACAAGAUUAUUGAAAGGAAAAUAAAAAAUUGCAGUCCUUUAUUUAAAUGGUAAUGAUUAUUCUCACAUCAAUUUUGACAGUAUUUACAUGAAAUCAAAUAAUCUUUUUUACCAUGUUCAUUGUCUUUGGAGAAUUCAGCAUGAAAUGAAUUUGGUAAGUAAAAAAACACACUGAAUAUAUAUUUUUCUAAUUUUUUUAGUUUGGUAUUUGUUCAACUUGAUAAUGAGUUUCUUGCAUCAAAUUAAAUGAGUGACUGUUGGAAAACUUGAAUGAAUUACUUUGUUGAGGAUAAAAUAAAUUUUAAGAAGCCAUACGUAAUCUUAUCAAAGAUUUCAUAGUAAAAUGAAAUUAUUUAAUGUUAGAAAAUACUUUGUUUGGAAUCACAUUGUAAGUUUCCUGCUCAAUUGGUUUUGCACUGUAAAAUAUAUUAUAGUGGUAGCUAAGAUGAAUCUUUUGAUUUUAUUUUGACUGACCUUGAUGAUUAUUUAACUAUUAGAUCUAUGCAAUUUUUUAAAACCAUUAAGGAAUGAGUAGACCUUUAGAAUAUUUGGGUAUGUAUUUGUAUAUAUGAUUAGUGUAAGUAUUAUUGGUUGUUAGAAACAUUUUUUUCCAAAUGACACGAACUAUUUUUAGUUGUAAACUUUCAGUGAUAAACAUUCUCUUUGUUCGUAUCAGAGAAUAUUUUCUCUACAAUUAUAAUUGUCUUACAUACAUAUUUUUGGAUCUAGAAUAAUUUUUUGUUGGUAUUACAUAAACAAAUGUAUCUAUUUGUAAUAAACUAAUCAUGCUUUUAUAGUAUUUGUUUAAUUGUUGCAGAUAUUAUAUUUCAUUGGAUUUUGACUGUCUUCAUUGGUUGAAGUAUUUUAUUGGGCUAAUUUUGAGAUAGGAUAUUGGUGCCAUUGGCACAUAUGAUUUGCAAAAAGAAAUGAAAGUAUUAGAUGCCUUCUAACCUCACACCAACUAAGAUACAGAGAAGUACAACAUUCUCCAAUUGGUAGGAUAUCAUAUUUCUUUCGAAUGUAGUAAAAGUGUGUCUGCAUUUUUGUCGAAGUUGUUGCUCCUUGCUUAGACAACUACUAUACCUCAAAAAGCUUAAAAUUCGGGGAUACAACAGUUUGAUCGUAGUAAGUUUGAAUUCUACUCUAAUGGCCUUUUCAUGUGUAAGCCAUUUUAAUCUUUAAAAAUUUUGCAUUUUUAAAAUAUUCAUGAGUGAAAGGAAAAGUAAUUCACUGAACAUGGAGUAUUCUUCCCUCAACUUAAAAGAGUUCUAUUUGGAAGAUUGUCCAAAGUUAUGUGUGUACUAACAUAAUUAUCUUCGAAGUCUUCCAUCAUCAACAAUUCUUCUAGUAUAUAUAUAAACAUAAAACCCAAAUAACUUGAAUUGAAGCCCUCCUAUUAGAGUCGUUAGCAUCUCCGAGCGUUCUUUGGAGAGGUACUCCUAUGGUCGCAUCUCUCUGAUCACCAAGCCUAUCCUCUCUUUCUCGAAUGCCGACAUCUGUGUGGCUCUCCCAUGGCUUGGUUUUCCUAAUCUCUAAGUACACGACGACGAUUGGUGGUGAGAUAAUUGGAUACGGUUUAAUAUAGCUGCGACUGGAGCACGCUAGCUGAUGGAGAAUAGCUUUGGUGUGUGAGUGCCUCCUUUUAAAAAAACCAAGAACAAAGGUAUAGGUGUUUCUAGGUGUGGUUUAGUCUUUUCAAAUUGCAGCACACAUUUUGCUCAAGUGGACUGACUACCUUUGACGCAAUGGAGUAAUUGGAUUUGGUUAAAUAAUUAUUUUGCUGUAUUUUAUUUUUAUUAGGCUCUUUAACUAAUUAGUGUCCAAGAAUGUUUUUUAAUUUGAGAAUGUAGUAUACUAUAGACUGUAAAUACUACAUCAAGCCUUGCCAAAAUUAUAUCAAACUUCUAGUACGAAUGGGAAAAGCAAGCACAUUUUAUGAUUCAAAGUGGUAUUUGGGUAUUUAUAUAUAGGUACGGUAAAAAAGAAAUUAACUAACAAAAGUUAUUUUUAAUUUUUUAUUAUCAUUUCAAUUAUUUUUAUUUUAUUUUUAAUUUAUUUGUUUUAAAAAAGAAUAAAGCUUAUUUAGGAUUUUAUUUCAUAUAUAAUUAAUAACUUAUAUUUAAAUCAAUUAAAAAUAAUCAAAUGAUGUAUAAAAAUGGGGUAAUUUGGGAAAUGUAAAAAAUUAAAAUACACUUGAGGUACUAAAAGUGUAGUUUUUCAAAUCAGAGGGUACCAAUUGAUCAUUAUAUGAAAUAGAGGGUACCAAGUUAAUUGCGGCAAAAUCUCUAAUACUUUCAUUUUACUUGCAUUUAAUCUCCAAAAUUUAAAUUUUAGCGGCAAAACCCCCCAUACUCGUGUUCUGUUAACAGUUUAACACUUCAAUUCAAUUUUGGCGGUUAGGUGUCAUGCUAGACUGUUCAUGUGUACAUCUACGUGGAUAUAAUGUACACAUGGCACAAUUUUAUUAGUCCACAUAAAAAAAUAUUUAAAAAAUUAAAAUAAAAUUAAUUUAAAAUUUAAAAAAAUUGUAAAUAAUUUUUUUUUUUCUUUUUCAGCUUUUUCUUUUAUUUAAAAAAAAUUAAAAUAAAAAAUCAUUAAAAAAUAUUUUUUUCUUUUAUUUUUCUUUUCUUUAUUUUUUUUUUCUUUUUUUCUCGCUCUUUUUUUCUCAGGACUUCUCUCUCUCCUUUAUCUCUCUCUCUCUCUCUCUCUCUCUCUCUCUCUCUCUCUCUCUCUAAGUUUUUCUUCUUCAGUUACAGACCUAACCACCACCAUCACCCAUCGCAACUCACCACCACCACAACCCAAUACCACCACCGCACAAACCCGACGAAAACCCAAAAACCCCGAUCUAUUGUCUCCAAUCUUUCUCUUUCUCCAUCCCUUACUGGUCUCAGGACGCCGAUGAGCCACCUCAAGACUCUUAGGUCCCCUUCGUCCAUCAUCGUUUUAAAACUCGUUGAAGCUUCUCAACUUCAGUCUGGACACGCUGAGUCUUAGCAAACCAAGUGAGUUUCAAAAGUGGGCUCCUUUCGUGAAGAUCUUCCAAAUCUAAAACUUACGGUGGGUCAUGGCAGUGGUUUAGAGGAGAUAAACUGGUUGUGGUGAUGGGAUGGUGGAAGCUAUGGAGGUUUUAGGGAAGGGAGAGGUACGGGGGAAGGGAUUAGGGAUUUGGUUUUAAAAAAUGGGACAAUAUUUUUUAUUUUAGAAAAAAAAAUGAUGUUUGAAAUUUGUGGGGAAUUAAAAUGGUGUAUUGAUGGUGGUGGGGACAGUGGGAGUUACAGAGAGAGAAAUGGUUUUUGGAGAGAGAGAAAUAGUGGUUACUGGUUAUGGUGGGAGUAGGAAUGUCAAUCUGGGCUAUUUUCGCGGGCCGGGCCGGGCCCCCGGCCCGACGGGCCGACUGUGGCCCGAAUUAUUCGGGCUCUUCUCGGGCUUCUGGCCCGGCCCGGCCCGGCCCGGUAUAUAUUAUUUCGGGUCGGGCCCGGCCCGGCCCGGUUUCAAAUAUUAAAAAAAACCUAAAUCCCUAAAAAAAAAUCCCAAAUUCUAAACCUAAAUCCUUAGCUGGAAGAAGCUCAGUGAAGUUGGAUCUCAGGCCAACAUAGCCAGAAACAGCAGCUGGAGCAGUAAAUGAGGUAGCAGACAUCCUAACCUCAAACUUGGUUAACAGGAGAAAGAAAAUAAUUGCAGUGUUGUAGUAUUUCCUUUCCUUUCCUUUAUUCUUAUUUUGAUUAUUUUAGUAUCAAGUAGUUUAUUAGGAAAAUGGUGGAAAUGGUUUCUAAAAACAACAAAAGAAGUCAGCUUUAUAUUUGUUAUGAGAUCAAGUGUGGUUUUUUUUCUCUUUUUCUUUUGUAAAAGAUGAGUGGUAUGGUAUUUCGGUGGGCACUACGAGGUGGUGUAGAGUUUUCCCUAUUUAGAGUUUGGCUCUAGUGGAAAUGUUUUGGGGUCCCACCUUACAUUUUUGCCACUUAUGAAAAAGCUUUCUCAGAUUGAUCCUGAGGUAUUUUCUGUCAGUUUUAAAGAUUGAUUUGUUAAAGAAAAUAUGGAUAUUGAUGUAUAAGCUUACUCUACUGGAAUACAAAAAGAAAAGAAAAGUGGAUUUUAGUAACAGCAUCAGAUUUAAUGACAAGAAGGUUUAGGUAAUAUAGGUAUUCCUUUUAUUUGUAGCGAGUGAACAAAUUGGUAAAUUAAGAUGAUAUAUUAUUGUGUCCUAGAAUGGAAGUUAUGUUUGUCUAUGUUAACUUAUGAAUAUUUAAUGUUUCUCAUUAGGAAGGUGAACAUUUUCUCAAUUUAUCAAUAAAUUUGAAUAAA